rnacentral:rRNA from 1 species
GGGGUAAUCGGGAGAAAUCCCGUCUAAUACCGCGUAACGCCGCGGGGCUGCAUGGCCCUGCGGCCAAAGGGAGCGAUUCCGGCAACGGAUGGGCAUGCGUGACAUUAGCUAGUUGGCGGGGCAACGGCCCACCAAGGCGACGAUGUCUAGGGGUUCUGAGAGGAAGGUCCCCCACACUGGUACUGAGACACGGACCAGACUCCUACGGGAGGCAGCAGUGAGGAAUAUUGGUCAAUGGGCGCGAGCCUGAACCAGCCAAGUCGCGUGAGGGAUGACGGCCCUACGGGUUGUAAACCUCUUUUGUCGGGGAGCAAAUUCCGCCACGUGUGGCGGAGUCGAGAGUACCCGAAGAAAAAGCAUCGGCUAACUCCGUGCCAGCAGCCGCGGUAAUACGGAGGAUGCGAGCGUUAUCCGGAUUUAUUGGGUUUAAAGGGUGCGUAGGCGGACUGUCAAGUCAGCGGUAAAAUACGGGGGCUCAACCUCCGCCCGCCGUUGAAACUGACGGUCUUGAGUGGGCGAGAAGUAUGCGGAAUGCGUGGUGUAGCGGUGAAAUGCAUAGAUAUCACGCAGAACUCCGAUUGCGAAGGCAGCAUACCGGCGCCCAACUGACGCUGAAGCACGAAAGCGUGGGUAUCGAACAGGAUUAGAUACCCUGGUAGUCCACGCAGUAAACGAUGAAUAAUAGCUGUCCGGG